GAAACAUCUUGUGUUCACCACAGCACAUCCCUGGAAGAAACUGGGGAUGCUUUUCUCUGCUCUAUGUGCUCCCACUCACGGUGUGCUUCAUGGGAAGCAGAUUCUGUGAGCUUUGCAAGGACUGUAUGCAAAAUGAAUUUCGUCUGUGUUAUGAUCAAAGCGCACAAUGCUAACUUCUUUCUUUUUUCCCCUUAGGAAGUGAGAGGAGCCCUGGAAAGGAGCGAGCCACUCUUGCUUCAGUGUCCAGAGGCCACCACCACAGAGCUGAGUCUGUGCCGCAUCACGGGAAUGAAGGAAAUGCUAAGAAAAUUCAGCACAGAGAUAACGCUGGACCCAGCCACAGCUAAUGCCUAUCUCGUGUUGUCGGAGGAUCUGAAGAGUGUGAAAUACGGGGGAAGCAGACAGCAGCUACCCGACAAUCCGGAAAGAUUUGACCAGUCUGCGACUGUGCUGGGUGCUCAGAUCUUCACCAGUGGGAGACACUACUGGGAAGUGGAGGUGGGAAACAAGACCGAGUGGGAAGUGGGCAUCUGCAAGGACUCUGUAAGCAGAAAGGGGAAUCUCCCCAAGCCACCUGGGGACCUGUUCUCACUAAUAGGUUUAAAAAUCGGAGAUGAUUACAGCCUCUGGGUCUCAUCACCUUUGAAAGGUCAGCACGUCAGAGAGCCUGUGUGUAAGGUUGGUGUCUUCCUGGACUAUGAAUCUGGACAUGUAGCAUUCUACAACGGGACGGAUGAAUCCCUCAUCUACAGCUUCCCACCAGCUUCCUUCCAAGAGGCCCUCAGGCCUAUCUUUUCCCCCUGCCUCCCAAAUGAGGGGACAAACACAGACCCUCUCACCAUCUGCUCACUCAACAGUCACAUCUGAGAGGCGUGCCCUGAGCCUUCACAGCGGGCGAUGUCUGAGACCAAGACAUAACUAUUAAGACAAUGAAGGCAUCGACACUAUUAAUGUCAGGUGAUCUGAAAUAAACUCCCGUACCCCCACCCCACCCCCAAGAGUUCCCAUUAACUUGAUCCCAUUAUGAACAGUCACAUUACACAAUCAACUUCAACCCCAAUAGAAGAGGGCUGAUCAUAUUCUGUGUCUUUGACUAAAUGUAUUCUCUAGGCUACCCCAUGUGUGUGCUGGUCACUCAAAUAUUGAGCCCCUAUUACCAUGAAUCCUACUGCCAUAGGCCGGAUUUUAUAAAUAUAUGUCACUUUUUCAAGUGUAUUUAAUUAUUUGACUCUGAAAAA
rnacentral:sRNA from 1 species